rnacentral:rRNA from 1 species
AUACGGGGGGUGCAAGCGUUGUCCGGAAUCAUUGGGCGUAAAGGGUUCGUAGGUGGAAUUAUAAGUCUGGUGUGAAAGCCCACAGCUCAACUGUGGAACUGCACUGGAUACUGUUUUUCUUGAGUUAUAGAGGGGUUUGUGGAAUUUCUGGUGUAGAGGUGAAAUUUGUAGAGAUCAGAAAGGACACCGGUGGCGAAGGCGACAAACUGGCUAUUAACUGACACUGAGGAACGAAAGCGUGGGGAGCGAACAGGAUUAGAUACCCUAGUAGUCC